rnacentral:rRNA from 1 species
GAUGAACGCUGGCGGCGUGCCUAAUACAUGCAAGUCGAGCGAACGGACGAGAAGCUUGCUUCUCUGAUGUUAGCGGCGGACGGGUGAGUAACACGUGGAUAACCUACCUAUAAGACUGGGAUAACUUCGGGAAACCGGAGCUAAUACCGGAUAAUAUUUUGAACCGCAUGGUUCAAAAGUGAAAGACGGUCUUGCUGUCACUUAUAGAUGGAUCCGCGCUGCAUUAGCUAGUUGGUAAGGUAACGGCUUACCAAGGCAACGAUGCAUAGCCGACCUGAGAGGGUGAUCGGCCACACUGGAACUGAGACACGGUCCAGACUCCUACGGGAGGAAGCAGUAGGGAAUCUUCCGCAAUGGGCGAAGGCCUGACGGAGCAGCGCCGCGUGAGUGAUGAAGGUCUUCGGAUCGUAAAACUCUGUUAUUAGGGAAGAACAUAUGUGUAAGUAACUGUGCACAUCUUGACGGUACCUAAUCAGAAAGCCACGGCUAACUACGUG